rnacentral:tRNA from 16 species
GCGCAUGUGGCGUAAUUGGUAGCCGCGUUAGACUUAGGAUCUAAUGUCUCAGGACGUGGGGGUUCGAGUCCCUUCAUGCGCA